UGGGGCAAAUAUGGACACAACAUUCAAGCUGGAUUCAGCUCUAAAUUUGGAAUGUGAUUAAAUAGUUGACACAGCAUAGGUUUCUGACACAGAAUGAAUGUGGAAAAUGUUUUGCCUUUAAGCAAUUCACUAUGCUGUUGAAUAUUAAUCCUCUCAAAAAAAUGUUUGAAGAAAUUUUCUUUUUAUUUAUGAAAUCUGAAAUGAGAAAAAUUGAACCCCCCUUUUUUCACAUCCCCUUUUCCCUUAUUCCAAAACUGAUCUCUAUUCAAAUUUCUAAUGGAGUUUGCAACAAUAACUACUCAUUUAAAUACAUCAUAAAAUAAUAAAAUGUUGAAAAGUGCUUAUAAUCACUGAAUGGUAAAGAUUGUUUUAAUUUAUUAGUUGGUAGUAAAAGUGAAUAUA
rnacentral:lncRNA from 1 species